GAUGAACGCUGGCGGCGUGCCUAAUACAUGCAAGUCGAACGAGGUGCUUUUGUAGCAAUACGAGAGUAUCCUAGUGGCGAACGGGUGAGUAACGCGUUGGUGACCUACCCAAAGUGUGGGAUAACAGUCCGAAAGGAUUGCUAAUACCGCAUGUGGUCUUCGGGUUUAGAAACUGAUGACUAAAAGGAGCAAUUCGCUUUGGGAGGGACCUGCGUCCAUCAGCUAGUUGGUGAGGUAAUGGCUCACCAAGGCUACGACGGGUAGGGGACCUGAGAGGGUGACCCCCCCACAAUGGAACUGAAACACGGUCCAUACACCUACGGGUGGCAGCAGUAGGGAAUAUUGCACAAUGGGCGAAAGCCUGAUGCAGCAACGCCGCGUGUGCGAUGAAGGCCUUCGGGUCGUAAAGCACUUUCUGGGAGAUGAGCAAGGCCAGUAUCUCAGGAAUAAGUCUCGGCUAACUACGUGCCAGCAGCCGCGGUAAU
rnacentral:rRNA from 1 species